rnacentral:rRNA from 1 species
AUUGAACGCUGGCGGCAUGCCUUACACAUGCAAGUCGAACGGCAGCACGGGUGCUUGCACCUGGUGGAGAGUGGCGAACGGGUGAGUAAUACAUCGGAACGUACCUUAUCGUGGGGGAUACCGCAGCGAAAGCUGCGCUAAUACCGCAUACGCCCUGAGGGGGAAAGCGGGGGAUAUCAAGACCUCGCGCGAUUAGAGCGGCCGAUGCCUGAUUAGCUAGUUGGUGGGGUAAAAGCCCACCAAGGCGACGAUCAGUCGCUGGUCUGAGAGGACGAUCAGCCACACUGGGACUGAGACACGGCCCAGACUCCUACGGGAGGCAGCAGUGGGAAAUUUUGGACAAUGGGGGCAACCCUGAUCCAGCAAUGCCGCGUGAGUGAAGAAGGCCUUCGGGUUGUAAAGCUCUUUUGUCAGGGAAGAAACACCGGCUCUAACACAGUCCGGGAAUGACGGUACCUGAAGAAUAAGCACCGGCUAACUACGUGCCAGCCGCCGCCGUAA